rnacentral:lncRNA from 1 species
AAGGGGUUAAUAGCUACACACAAAGGCUUGGAGCAUAAUUGGUGUUAUUGGAAGGUUCAAGAAACAUAUUCGAGUAAAGAUUACUGAUUCGCGACUUUAUGAGUCUAUCGGGGUACUAACUGCAAGCGCACAGUCUAAUCGCGUAGUUUUAAAAGAUAUCGAUCCCACAGGGACUUAAUGAAUCGAUCUACCAUUUUUCUAG